AAUAGAUACCCUGGUAGUCCACGCCGUAAACGUUGGAUACUAGGUGUGGCGGUCUUACCAACGACUGCCGUGCCGAAGCUAACGCAUUAAGUAUCCCGCCUGGGGAGUACGGCCGCAAGGCUAAAACUCAAAGGAAUUGACGGGUCCCCGCACAAGCGGCGGAGCAUGCGGCUUAAUUCGAUGCAACCCGAAGAACCUUACCUGGGUUUGACAUCACGGGAAAAGCUGUAGAAAUACAGUGUCCAUUAGGGCCCGUGACAGGUGGUGCAUGGCUGUCGUCAACUCGUGUCGUGAGAUGUUGGGUUAAGUCCCGCAACGAGCGCAACCCUUGUCCUAUGUUGCCAGCGGUUCGGCCGGGGACUCAUAGGAGACUGCCGGGGAUAACUCGGAGGAAGGUGAGGACGACGUCAAGUCAUCAUGCCCCUUAUAUCCAGGGCUGCACGCAUGCUACAAUGGCCGGUACAACGGGCAGCGAUCCCGCGAGGGUGAGCGAAUCCUAGAAAGCCGGUCCUAGUUCGGAUUGAAGUCUGCAACUCGACUU
rnacentral:rRNA from 1 species